AGAGUUUGAUCAUGGCUCAGAUUGAACGCUGGCGGCAGGCCUAACACAUGCAAGUCGAACGGUAGCAGGAUGUGCUUGCACAUCGCUGACGAGUGGCGGACGGGUGAGUAAUGCUUGGGAACUUGCCUUUGCGAGGGGGAUAACAGUUGGAAACGACUGCUAAUACCGCAUAACGUCUUCGGACCAAACGGGGCUUAGGCUCCGGCGCAGAGAGAGGCCCAAGUGAGAUUAGCUAGUUGGUGAGGUAAAGGCUCACCAAGGCGACGAUCUCUAGCUGUUCUGAGAGGAAGAUCAGCCACACUGGGACUGAGACACGGCCCAGACUCCUACGGGAGGCAGCAGUGGGGAAUAUUGCACAAUGGGGGAAACCCUGAUGCAGCCAUGCCGCGUGUGUGAAGAAGGCCUUCGGGUUGUAAAGCACUUUCAGUUGUGAGGAAAAGUGAGUAGUUAAUACCUGCUCACCGUGACGUUAGCAACAGAAGAAGCACCGGCUAACUCCGUGCCAGCAGCCGCGGUAAUACGGAGGGUGCGAGCGUUAAUCGGAAUUACUGGGCGUAAAGCGCACGCAGGCGGUUUGUUAAGCUAGAUGUGAAAGCCCCGGGCUCAACCUGGGACGGUCAUUUAGAACUGGCAGACUAGAGUCUUGGAGAGGGGAGUGGAAUUCCAGGUGUAGCGGUGAAAUGCGUAGAUAUCUGGAGGAACAUCAGUGGCGAAGGCGACUCCCUGGCCAAAGACUGACGCUCAUGUGCGAAAGUGUGGGUAGCGAACAGGAUUAGAUACCCUGGUAGUCC
rnacentral:rRNA from 1 species